GUCUAUGGCCACACCACCCUGAACGCACCCGAUCUCCUCUAAUCUCGGAAGCUAAGCAGGGUCGGGCCUGGUUAGUACUUGGAUGGGAGAGAGAGUGAGAACAAGCUCUCCAGUGUCU
rnacentral:rRNA from 1 species